rnacentral:rRNA from 1 species
GACGUAGGGCGCGAGCGUUUGUCCGGAUUUAUUGGGCGUAAAGAGCUCGUAGGCGGCUUGUCGCGUCGACUGUGAAAUCCCGCGGCUCAACUGCGGGUCUGCAGUCGAUACGGGCAGGCUAGAGUUCGGUAGGGGAGACUGGAAUUCCUGGUGUAGCGGUGAAAUGCGCAGAUAUCAGGAGGAACACCGAUGGCGAAGGCAGGUCUCUGGGCCGAUACUGACGCUGAGGAGCGAAAGCGUGGGGAGCGAACAGG